AACGAACGCUGGCGGCAUGCCUAACACAUGCAAGUCGAACGAGACCUUCGGGUCUAGUGGCGCACGGGUGCGUAACGCGUGGGAACCUGCCCUUAGGUUCGGAAUAACUCCCCGACAGGGGUGCUAAUACCGGAUAAUGUCUUCGGACCAAAGAUUUAUCGCCUUUGGAUGGGCCCGCGUCGGAUUAGCUAGUUGGUAGGGUAAAAGCCUACCAAGGCGACGAUCCAUAGCUGGUUUGAGAGGAUGAUCAGCCACACUGGGACGGGGACACGGCCCAGACUACUACGGGAGGCAGCAGAGGGUAAUAUUGCACAAUGGGCGAGAGCCUGAUCCAGCAAGGCCGCGUGAGUGAUGAAGGCCUUAGAGUAGUAAAGCUCUUUUACCCGGGAUGAUAAUGACAGUACCGGAAGAAUAAGCUCCGGCUAACUCCGUG
rnacentral:rRNA from 1 species